rnacentral:rRNA from 1 species
UGGCUCAGGACGAACGCUGGCUGCGUGCUUAACACAUGCAAGUCGAACGCUGAAGCCCUGGUGCUUGCACCGGGGUGGAUGAGUGGCGAACGGGUGAGUAACACGUGAGUAACCUGCCCCCGACUUCGGGAUAAGCCCGGGAAACUGGGUCUAAUACCGGAUAUGACGACGGAAGGCAUGUUUGGUUGUGGAAAGUUUUUUCGGUUGGGGAUGGGCUCGCGGCCUAUCAGUUUGUUGGUGAGGUAAUGGCUCACCAAGACGACGACGGGUAGCCGGCCUGAGAGGGCGACCGGCCACACUGGGACUGAGACACGGCCCAGACUCCUACGGGAGGCAGCAGUGGGGAAUAUUGCACAAUGGGGGAAACCCUGAUGCAGCGACGCAGCGUGCGGGAUGACGGCCUUCGGGUUGUAAACCGCUUUCAGCAGGGAAGAAGCCUUUCGGGGUGACGGUACCUGCAGAAGAAGUACCGGCUAACUACGUGCCAGCAGCCGCGGUAAUACGUAGGGUACAAGCGUUGUCCGGAAUUAUUGGGCGUAAAGAGCUCGUAGGUGGUUGGUCACGUCUGCUGUGGAAACGCAACGCUUAACGUUGCGCGUGCAGUGGGUACGGGCUGACUAGAGUGCAGUAGGGGAGUCUGGAAUUCCUGGUGUAGCGGUGAAAUGCGCAGAUAUCAGGAGGAACACCGGUGGCGAAGGCGGGACUCUGGGCUGUAACUGACACUGAGGAGCGAAAGCAUGGGGAGCGAACAGGAUUAGAUACCCUGGUAGUCCAUGCCGUAAACGUUGGGCACUAGGUGUGGGGGACAUUCCACGUUCUCCGCGCCGUAGCU